rnacentral:lncRNA from 1 species
GCUGCGAAUCGACCGAAGAUUUUUUCCUCAUUUCCAUCUCCGCAGCAGUCUCCCGGUGUUCCGCCGGGAGGGGUUGGUGUCCUCGCCGACAUCCUCUCUGCUGGCGAAGUCUCCUCUGGAAUCUCCCAUUCAUCUCCAGAGAAGUCUUCGACUGCCUGCGUCGACGCGACGCGGUUCGCACUAGUAAGGUCUCCUUCGAAACUCUGGCCAUCUUCGUCGGCUUGAGUGAAGACCUUGCCAUUCCUCGGAGGUCCGUUUGCGUCUCCUUCGGACCCUGUUUCUGACCACGCGUCUUCUUCAUUGUCUGCUUCGCCCGCUGACUUUCAUAAACGAGGUCACCGCCCCUGUCCAACUCCAAUACUGUGCCAACUCGGCUAAAAAACAAGGAAACAAGCACUGCCUCUUCGAUGAUAUUUCGGACUCACAGUCAAACUCGUCGCUUGACUCUAUCCACUUCAGAUCUGAGACAAUCAGAGGGUGACCUCGGAGAGCGCUUUUGACACUUGCCGCACAGCACGCGACGCUUUAGGAGGCCCCUGUGCGACAUCAUCGACAGAGCCCGGGAAGCAGGCGGACGACCACUGCUUCGCAAUCGGCAUUCUCCAACUCCGAGUCGAUCACCUCGCUUCCCGCAUCCAGUUUCCAGCAAAGACAUCGUGCGUCAGCUGUUUUCUCCUCAAGGGUCGUCGCUUCUCGCGGUGCGCAUAUGCACUGUAGUCCACACCUGCACAGGCUCUCCGUCUCCGUAUGGAGUUCCCCUCUUCGUCGAUUCGACUGAGCGAGGAGGGAAGGACUACCGGUUCUCAGGAGAGCAGCAAGGGCACACAUUUGGUCGCGCUUUCAUUGCCUGUGCCUUUACGCGAGAGGGGGGCGAUGGCGGCACUCGUUGAUUGUAGAAUAAGCGCUUCGUCGUCGAAACCGCUCCACAGCGACGGAACAACUGCUGCGUCGUCAUCAGUCCAAUCACACUCCGAGCCGAUGUCCUCGCUUGCCGCAGUCGGCGUCGAGCAAAUGUCCCCUUGAUGCGCAUCGUGGCGGCACACCGUGGCGUCACGUGUCGUACCUCUACAGGCGACGCGGUCGGUUGGCGCGGCCGCCGGCUCCAAAUUGAGUUCCCCUUCGUCGACACGGCAGACGAAUGAGGGAACCUGUGCCUGUUGGUCAGAGGCAGUCGCUUUGGGGGACGGAAGCACCGGACACGACCGUCCGAGAGGAUGCCAGCCGCUUGAGAGAAACAUGGCGGGCUUCUCCAGGAGAAGGGCAGCGGGAGCGUUUUUGCUGGUCGUCGUACGUCACCGUCUUGAUGGUUGGAUCCCGGGGGCUAACCACGCUGCUGCCGUAUGGCAGAAAAGAUGUUCGAGGGAGGUGUUCCCUCUGCGGCAGAAACAGGCAUUUUAGAAGUGCCCGUGAAAAGAGUUCUUGAGAUCCGGGGUUCUGUGAUUCACUUCAUGAAUCGUACGGUUAUUCAAGACGGUAGUUGACGUAGUUCUGAUUUAGAAAGGGUUAAAAAUUGUCGAUCAAUCCACUAUGCUGAGGUGUACAUACCCCGUGGGACACUUGACCCCGUGUUCCAUUAUCCGCUACGAGCAUUGUCGGCCGCCAUGCGUCCAUGGCAUCCGGACUCUGCGAACGGAAUCGACAAGAAUCAGGGACUGACGCUUUUUGAUUGGCCAGCCAAGGCAACUCCGGAGCAGUUUCCUCCUGGCGCUUUUGAAUCCUUGACAUUACAUCCGUUAUCGGGCGUACGGAGGAAAGAACCAACCACCCCCCAAUCAAUAAACCGUCGAUCUUGCCUCGUCAGCGGUGGGAGCGGUUUUGACUCCUCGGAGACACGUUAUGUGCGCGAAGACGAAGCCAGUAUUCGAACGAACCGUCUCACAUCGUUGCC